GAAGGUUGUCAGGACUGAAGGAAUUGAACUGCCAGAAGGCAGCAUAGCGGAUGUUGAUUAAAGCUACAAGUACCUUGGAAUCACGCAGGCAAAUGGGAACCAAGAAGAAGCUGCAAGGAAAGCAGCCACAGCCAAAUACCUACAGAGAGUAAGGCAACUCCUAAGAAGUCAGCUAAAUGGGAAGAACAAGGUCCAAGCCAUCAACACCUACGCCCUGCUGGUCAUCAGAUACCCUGCUGGCAUAAUAAGCUGGCCAAAAGAGGAGACAGAGACCACCGAUGUCAAGACAAGGAAGCUCUUCACAAUGCAUGGAGGACUUCACCCCAAAUCCAGCAUCCUGAGACUGUACACUAAGAGGAAGGAAGGAGGCCGGGGACUGGUGAGCAUCAGAGCCACCAUCCAAGAUGAAACAGCCAAGAUCCAUGAGUACAUCAGGAAGAUGGCCCCAAGCGAUGGAAUACUUGAAUAUCUCAGGCAACAGAAGCCAGAUGCAGAGGAAGAAGAGCGAGAACCAUCAUGGCAGGACAAACCCCUGCACGGCAUGUACCACCGACAGAUACAAGAAGUGGCUGAUAUCAAAAAGUCCUACCGGUGGCUGGAAAAAGCUGGACUGAAAGACAGCACAGAGGCACUAAUCGUAGCAGCACAAGAACAGGCCCUGAGCACAAGAUCGAUAGAGGCCGGGGUCUACCACACCAGGCAGGACCCCAGGUGCAGGCUGUGCAAAGAUGCCCCUGAGACAAUCCAGCACAUAACAGCAGGUUGUAAGAUGCUAGCAGGCAGAGCGUACAUGGAACGCCAUAACCAAGUGGCCGGCAUAGUGUACAGGAACAUCUGUGCCGAGUAUGGGCUGGAGGUCCCAAGGUCAAAAUGGGACACACCUCCAAAGGUGAGGGAGAAUGACCGAGCUAAGAUCCUGUGGGACUUCCAGAUACAGACCGACAAACAGGUGAUGGCUAACCAACCGGACACAGUAGUGGUGGACAAACAGCAGAAGAAAGCCGUAGUGGUAGAUGUAGCAAUCCCAAGUGACAGCAACAUCAGAAAGAAGGAACAUGAGAAGCUGGAGAAAUACCAAGGGCUUAAAGAAAAGCUAGAAAAGAUGUGGAAGGUGAAGGCAACAGUGGUCCCCGUGGUAAUCGGCACCCUCGGGGCCGUGACCCCCAAACUGGGAGAGUGGCUCCAACAGAUCCCAGGAAC
rnacentral:lncRNA from 1 species